rnacentral:ncRNA from 1 species
UUUCAUCUUCGGGGCGUGGUGAAAUUCCCGACCGGCGGUAAUGGACAUGGUCCUUGAGCCCGCGAGCCGAUAAGGCAGGAUCCGGUGUAAUUCCGGAGCCGACAGUAUAGUCUGGAUGGGAGAAGAUGAAG